GAAGGCAGGGGGCUUUCUGGAGCUAAGGGGCUUGGCAGAAAUUUCAUAGAAACAAAGGGGUUAUAAGCCUUUGGGCAAUCUGACUUCCAGGGCUGGUUAUCUGGUGAUCCCUGAAGGCAUUCUUCUUCUUCUUCUUCUGUAAACAAGCUCAUAAAUCCUUGUGACCCUUGAGUCACCCCUCAGGUUAAACAAGAAAACAGCAAAUUGACAAGAUUAACUUCUUUUCAACUAUGUUUGUUGGGAACAAGGUCUCAUUGAAUAUUUACAGUAACCCUCAGGUACCUGGCUUCAGAAUCAUGUAGUAAUUGUCCUUCUGUGGCUGGCUUAUUUCGAUUAUCAGAGUGUUCUCCAGAUUCCUCCAUACUGUUGCAUAUGUCAGGAUUUCCUUCUGUUUGUAUGGCUGAAUAAUUCGUCUGCUUUUUGAGGGGUCCUUACUUUUGGAUGGAGAUUCGAGAUAUUGUGUAUGAGAUUGCUGAGACAGCCGACCUUCACAUAGGGUUCCCCUCCUUGGUGGUUUUAACUAUGUCCACAAAUUCAAAAGGUUGAACCUAACAGCCCUCCCCCUGCGUGUGGGUUGGGCUAACUGACUUGCUCCCAACAAAGAGAAUGUGGCAGAGAUGAUGGUGUGUGACUUUUAGGACUAGGUCAUAAAGGCAUUGCCCACUCCUGUACUCUCACUCUAGGGGAAAUUAGCUUCCAUGUCAUGAGGACAAUCAAACAGCUCCAUUCAGAGGUCCACGUGGUGAGGAGCUGAGCCCUCUUGCCAACAGCCGUGUGAAUGAACCACUUUGGAAAUGGAUCCUUCAGCCGCAGUGGAGCCUUGAGAUGACUAAAACCCUGGUCUAGGCCUUAACUGCAACCUCCCAAGAGAUUCUGAGCCAGAACCAUUCAGGUAUAUCACCUGAGAGAGUCCCAGACGUUUCCCUUUUGACAUGUAGAGUGUCUUGAAAUUUGGAGUUUGAAAGAAUUAGCUGCAAUAGCCUACCACCCCCUGAAACUCAAUUGUCAUCAGAGUAACUGAAUGACAUUGUGAAAACACUGUCUCUCGUCCUCAGUGUGGGUAUCUAGCUGCAGGAAUAGAUCGUCUGCAGUCUUGGUUGCUUUGUUGAAUCCAAGUUCUCAAGAAAACAGAGAGGUCUUGUGAUAAAAGAAAAGUCUCUAUGAUAAAAGCCUGAAGUUGUAUGUCUGAUCUAGAGGUCAGACCUUCAACAGAAUGGAUAUUACUCACUGUCCUUCAUCUGGAACAUGUGAUUCUUCUGGCUAUGACAGGCACUGGUGAGGAUAUGAAUACAGCUUCAGUCUAAUCAUGCUGCAAUUCUCCCUUCUUUCUCAUUCUCCAUGAGUACAGGCCCCUAGGAGCUGGGCUUCCAAUGGGAACAACUCGCCCUUGCAUGAGAGUUUACAGCCCCAUUUGCAAGAGAAUCUUUGAAGGGCCUUCCUUCCGACUCCCAAUCUGUCUCUGAGCCUCUUCAGUCAUUUUGUUAUAGAUAACAGCUUUAUUUCUAGCGUGAAAGAAAAGGCAGAUGGGGGCCCUGUUUGGAUGUCACCACUUCGGGCAGCCACCAUUGCUGCACUUCCAAAGUAGAGUGACAGGACUGGGAGGAGGCUGAAAAGCUAGGGGAACAUUCCCACAUAGAAAAUGCAUGAGAAACAAAGACCUCUGUCCUACCGUCGAGACACUGUGAAUGCCAGGUCAUGUGGAACCCCUGCAUCACUUUAUUGAGAGACCUCAAGCUGCAGCUGUUUCCUUUAAUUCAUUCAUAUGGUGGCUGGCAGCUCAGGUCAAAAUGCGUUAUUCCGUUUCCCGUUUUCAAACCUACCUGAUGUUCCAUCUCCCCUCUGAGUGUAUUCCAAGAAUGGAAGAAGAUAAACCUCAUUUUAUUGAAAGUACAACAGAUUCACUGCUACUUAUCAGUCUUCCUAUUCAUCCAACUUACUUAAAGAAACAAGACGAGACUGUAGUAAAUAAACAUCAUUUUUCCAUGGAAAUAAAAUGGAAAGAAAUGUGAA